UCUUUGUGCAGCCGCAGAGAAGGAGGGAAGGCGGCAGAGGGGAGGAAGCGCAGCCGGGCUCUCCCCCUCUCCCCGUGCCGAGCACCCGCGCAUGGAACAACCUUCCUCUUUCCCGGCUCCGCUGGGGACAGAUGCGCAGGGGGAGAGGGGGCGGCUCGGCCACUGGGAAGAGACACCCCCACGGGCCCCGAGAGCGGCGCGGGGCGCACGUGCGCGCAGGAGAGGUGUUCCAGCCGUCUGCCCUUUUUUGUGGCCCUCCUCUGGACCUGCUCCAGCAAGCCCAUGUUUUUCCUGUACUGAGGGCUCUAGCGGUGCACACAGUACUCCAGGUGAGGUCUCACCGAAGUGGAGUCGAGGAGCAGAAUCCCUUCUCUUGGCUUGCUGGCUAUGCAGCUUCUGAUGCAGCCCAGACCUUGUUUCCGAGUGCUCCACCAGUGCUGAGUUUUUCCCAGAAACUGGAUGAAAAGUCACAUUUUAUCCGUGCUGCACCCAAAAGCUGGGCGAGAAGGAAACAGGAGGUCAGGUGGACUUGACAAUGGGCAAAAUUUGUUCGAACUGAAUUUUUCAUCAAAUCAUAGAAGAGUUUGUGUUAGAAAGGACCUGCAAAGGUCUUCUAGUCCAGCCUCCAGGCCGUAAGAAAAGAACAUCUUUAACUAGAUCAGGUUGCUCAGAACCCCAUCCAGCCUGACCUGGAGUAUUUCCAGGGAUGGAAAUUGCAACAUGCCUGUAUGGAUGCAGAGCCAAAUCCUCGGCCCAGGGAAGCUGGAAGAGUCCCCAGAUGUCAUCUCCAGCAGCCCCUGUUGGUGCGUGGCCCAUGGAGGGCUGAAGUUACCACAGCAGGAGUGCCACAGCCCAGCUGGAUAUGUCAGCUGGUGACUUUUUUACCCAAAGUCUGUGUUGGAGCAUGCCUCAGGAAAAAAUGUCUUGUUUUGAAGCAGGUGGUGAUGAGUACAGCACAACCCUAAAAAGCUGCACUGUACAGCCAGGACACCCCUUCUUGUCUGAGACUAUUUGCCUGAGCCAACCUCUCUCCACCACUGAUUUGCAAAGCAUCCCAUUUUCUUCUUAAGUAUUUAAGAUAUAAAUCACUGAAUUUUGACGUAUCUUUAACAAAGUCUGACUGCCAGCAUCUUCUUG